GUUGCCUGAGCAGUGGGCUGCUUAGGAAGAGAAGGUCAGAGUUCGCGGGGGCAGAGGCAUUCUUGCCGCUGGCCCAGUCACUAUGUAGUGGAGGGGCAGACACCCUCCCGCAAAUUCUGGAAGGUUCUUAGUCUCGACUAGGGCAGUAGCCCCAGGACUCCUAGUCGCCGGCUUCAGGUCACUGCCGGCUGAACGGAGCUGCCGUCGCCAUGUUUGGCUGCUUGGUGGCGGGGAGGCUGGUGCAAACAGCUGCACAGCAAGUGGCAGAGGAUAAAUUUGUUUUUGACUUACCUGAUUAUGAAAGUAUCAACCAUGUUGUGGUUUUUAUGCUGGGAACAAUCCCAUUUCCUGAGGGAAUGGGAGGAUCUGUCUACUUUUCUUAUCCUGAUUCAAAUGGAAUGCCAGUAUGGCAACUCCUAGGAUUUGUCACGAAUGGGAAGCCAAGUGCCAUCUUCAAAAUUUCAGGUCUUAAAUCUGGAGAAGGAAGCCAACAUCCUUUUGGAGCCAUGAAUAUUGUCCGAACUCCAUCUGUUGCUCAGAUUGGAAUUUCAGUGGAAUUAUUAGACAGUAUGGCUCAGCAGACUCCUGUAGGUAAUGCUGCUGUAUCCUCAGUUGACUCAUUCACUCAGUUCACACAAAAGAUGUUGGACAAUUUCUACAAUUUUGCUUCAUCAUUUGCUGUCUCUCAGGCCCAGAUGACACCAAGCCCAUCUGAAAUGUUCAUUCCGGCAAAUGUGGUUCUGAAAUGGUAUGAGGCAUUUUCUGUCUCCAAUAUUAAGGCUUUUUAUAACUGAAUAUCUAUUUUGUCUAUGAAUAUAUUCCUUUUUUGACAUUUAAACAUAUUCUUUUAUUGUGAACAUCAGCACUGCAUGCCAUUAAAGUAUGUACUAUAGAGAUCUGAUGAGAAACAGUUCUUACCCUAAAUAUUUUGUUAUAUUGUCGCCAUUAUGAAUUUAUAAAGACAGGAAAAUAUAGUUGCCUAUGUUUUAGGGACCACUAUUAAAGCUUAUAAAUAUUUGUGUAUUUUCAUUUAGAAGUACCAUCUAUGAGAGUAGUUUAUACUGCACUGUGUACAUGAAUGGCUAAUGAAUCUAUUUUCCAACUUUCCCGUGUUUUAUAGAUAUUUCUUUUCACUUUGAGUAUCCUAGAGAUGGGAGGAUGCCUAGGAAGAGUUUGUUGAGAAGUGGUACCAUGGUGUAGCAUGGAGAGCAUUGGAAUGCACUAGGUAUGAAAACUUUCAAAGACGACUAGCACAGAACCCUCUCUUUUGGAAAACAUAAUUUGAAUAAAAUAAUUUUUAAUGGAUUCUGAAAUUUGUCAUGUUUUGAAGAUAACUGACUCCAUCUAAAAGUAUGAGGUCAAAGGAUCACGAAACCUAAGUUUAAAAACUGCUUAGAGACUGAAGCUUAAUUAAAAAUCUUUAUUAAAAAUUAAAAACAUUGAAAAAUGAAAAUAUGUUCAUCAUUAAAGACUUUUUUCCCCUUAAGCUUAAAAUACCAUUCAAAGGCAAGACAUUUUGUUUUGGCUAUGAUUCAUUUUUUUUACUUAAAAAUAAAACCUAUACCAAACAGUAGUGUGCCAAGUA